UUUAGAUAUAAAUUUUAGACUUGAGUAGUAUUAGUUAUGAUCUUGAAACUUAAAGAAUUUGGCGGUAUUUUAGUCUAUUUAGAGGAAUCUGUCCCGUGAUCGAUAAUCCACGUUGAACCUUACUUAAUUUAUAAAUAUGUAUACCGCCGUUUAUUUGAAAAUCUUUAUAGAGUAAUUUUCUGAAUAUUUUAAUUAAUAGUAUUUCAGGUCAAGGUGCAGUUAAUAAUUAAGUGGAGAUGGAUUACAAUAUAAUUUAUAAACGAAUUAGAAAUUGAAAUAUUUUAUAUAAAGGUGGAUUUAAUAGUAAUUUUGAUAAGAUUAUAAAGAUGAUUUUAGCUCUAAAAUGUGU
rnacentral:rRNA from 1 species